UGGUAUUCCUGGUUCCUGGAGAGCCCUGGGGCUGAUCUGCAGAAGGAGCCAGCAGAGUGGGACAGAUACCAUCUACUUGGCUUCCAUGCCAUGCUCCAGUUGGGUGUUGAUCUAUGAGUUUGUUCUUUAUUUCUUAACAUCUUCGGGCAAAAGCAUAGAAUCAUAGAAUGAUGGAUUUGUUUGGGUUGAAAGGUACCUUUAAAAGCAACCUAGUCCAACUCUCCCAUAAUGAUGAGGGACACCUACAGCUACAUCAGGUUGCUCAGAGCUCCAUUCCACCCAACCUCGAGUAUCUCCAGGGAUGGGGCAUCCACCACCUGUUCUAGUGCCUCACCACCCUUGUCGUAAAAAGCUUAUUCUUUAUAUCCAUUCUAAACCUCUCCUCAUUUAGUUUGAGACCAAAAAUGGAGACUAGUAAUGCCCUUAUCAGCCUUACCAGCAGAUAGAUCUUCAGUUGGUGCUACUCACCAGGAUGUCUCUGGACUUAAUUCCAGCAAAGAUCUUGGCCUCACAUCCUUUGAAAGGAAGCAACACUCAAAAGCAGCAUAGAAAAUAAAUGUCUUCUCUUUAGCUGUAACAAAUGACUGUCCCUUUGGAGAUGCUAAUCAUAAUGUUGUUUAAUUCUUUUGCUCAGUGUCCUGCCAAGGAGAGUUCAGUGCUGGAUAAUACAAGUAAAAGCCAUCCCCAUCCUGAGAGGCUGACAACUCAGGAGUUGACAUACUGCAGGCUGAUUUUGUCUGGGAAUUAAUAGGCAAGCAUGGUUUCACAUUCAGUACUUUUACCAUCAAUGAAGGGCAGGACAGAUUCAGAAAUGACCUAUCCAGCUUGGCUAUAGAUCCAGUGUACUCCUAUUGCUACAGAGGAGGGGCACGGGGUGUUUUCUUCAAAGUUGUCUCUGCUGCUAAGAUGGAUGGAAGUGGUGUCUAUGCCAUUCCACUGCACUGCAUAUUCAUGCUCCAUCAGGGCACUUUCAGGCCUUACUGCUUACAUGAGACGUACAGCAGUCUGUUUGUAACAGCAAUCUGCUCUGUGUGCACUUAACCUUUUUGCUUGGGUUAAGCCCAGUGUUCACUCCAGUAAAAUGUUGUAUCCAUUGCUGUGUUGAUCCCUGUCUUUCAUUGCGUCUUCCUGCUCAGCAUACAAUGCCUAUUAUUCUCUGUGCAGAGCCAGACCUUCUUCUUAAAGUGUUGGUGACUGAAAGGACUGCCAGAAGGAUCAGUUAGCAGUGGUUCAAAGUUGAGCAGCAAUGAGUGCUUGACUCUCAGAAAAGAUUGUUUUGUGACAAGGCAUCAUCUUCUAACAGAUAACAGCAUGUGUUCUUUGCUCCUGGUCACCGCAAAAAGAUGCCAGCUCCUACUACUCAACUGAAAAUCACCAAAUUGCAAAGUGCUCUGGUGCGUGGUCCCCUUAGUCUAAGGGUCACACAUAGACCAGUGACCAGAAAAGAUGCUACCAAAGGAAAAAAAAAUCAUAGCUGUGCAAUAAACUCUUAGUAGAAAACA
rnacentral:lncRNA from 1 species